rnacentral:lncRNA from 1 species
CACUUCAAUAAGCAGCUCUUAGAGACAUUCUUAGAGAAUAUCUGAUUCAUCUACAAGAGCACAUGGUUAAUGUUAUUACUGCUAGCCUUUCAGCUCAAAACAUUCAUGUCAUGAUAGAGUUUCUAUUGAUUAUUCUUACAUAUGUCCCCAAAGACAUUAUUCAUCACGAUAAAUUGUCUGUAUUCUUGUCACGUGUUGUAGCUCUUACAAGGGAGGUAUCCAUUCUUGUUCGCAACUCAGAAGAGAACUCAGGGAAUGAAGAUAAUACGAAUGAAAUAAGUUGUGCAAGUCUAGAUUUGCUGGGAAAUUUUGAAUCCCUAAAAAAAGAUCUGAAACAUGUUUUCUUGAAAGCCCCUAAAGACUCAUAUCAACUUUGCUUCCCCAAUAGUGAUGGAUCACUCUUUAUGAAUCUUCAACUCAUAAACUUAAAUGGUUUGCUCAAUUCCAAUACUUAUGCAGUAGCUUUGAUAAAAGAAGAAAUUGGGUUGUUGAAAGAAUACCUACAGUUCAUAAGAUCAUUUUUUGGGAAUGUUGAGCAAGAAUUGAAUAGGGAUCUUUGGACUCGUGUUCUAGAUGUGGCAUAUGAGGCAGAACACGUCAUAAAUUCAAUUCUUGUCAGAGAUCAUGGUCUCUUGCAGCUUAUUUUCUUACUG